UGUACCAGAUGGGACUCGAACCCAUAUAUCGCUUCAUUAUAAAUAAAGUGCCUUUCCAAUUUGGCCACUGGCAC
rnacentral:tRNA from 1 species